GCGAGGUAUGCCCGAGUGGUCCAAGGGGGUGACUUAAGAUCUCCUAGUCGCUAAGACUGCGUGGGUUCAAACCCCACACCUCGCA
rnacentral:tRNA from 1 species